rnacentral:tRNA from 1 species
GGGUAGCUCAGUGGUAGAGCACUUGGCUGGCAGGCAUGAUACCCUGGGUUUAAUUCUCAGCACAACCA